CACAAGCGGUGGAGUAUGUGGUUAAUUCGAUGCAACGCGAAGAACCUUACCUGGUCUUGACAUCCCGGAGACCCUUAGGAAACUAGGGGUGCUUCCAUCUGGAAGAAUCUGGAGACAGGUGCUGCAUGGCUGUCGUCAGCUCGUGUCGUGAGAUGUUGGGUUAAGUCCCGCAACGAGCGCAACCCUUGCCUUUAGUUGCCAGCAGUUCGGCUGGGCACUCUAAAGGGACUGCCGGUGUUAAACCGGAGGAAGGUGGGGAUGACGUCAAGUCCUCAUGGCCUUUAUGACCAGGGCUACACACGUACUACAAUGGCCGAUACAAAGGGCAGCGACACUGCGAGGUGAAGCCAAUCCCGUAAAAUCGGUCUCAGUCCGGAUUGGAGUCUGCAACUCGACUCCAUGAAGUUGGAAUCGCUAGUAAUCGUGGAUCAGCAUGCCACGGUGAAUACGUUCCCGGGCCUU
rnacentral:rRNA from 1 species